rnacentral:rRNA from 1 species
GAUGAACGCUAGCUACAGGCUUAACACAUGCAAGUCGAGGGGCAGCAUUAGGUAGCAAUACUGAGAUGGCGACCGGCGCACGGGUGCGUAACGCGUAUCCAACUUUCCCGUUACUCUGGGAUAGCCUUCCGAAAGGGAGAUCAAUACCGGAUGGUGUUGAAAAUUCGCAUGUUUUUUCAACUAAAGAUUUAUCGGUAACGGUUAGGGAUGCGUGACAUUAGGUAGAUGGCGGGGUAACGGCCCACCAUGCCUACGAUGUCUAGGGGUUCUGAGAGGAAGGUCCCCACACUGGAACUGAGACACGGUCCAGACUCCUACGGGAGGCAGCAGUGAGGAAUAUUGGUCAAUGGUCGGAAGACUGAACCAGCCAAGUAGCGUGAAGGAUGAAGGUUCUAUGGAUUGUAAACUUCUUUUAUAUAGGAAUAAAACCUCCCACGUGUGGGAGCUUGUAUGUACUAUAUGAAUAAGCAUCGGCUAACUCCGUGCCAGCCGCCGCAGUAAAAC